rnacentral:tRNA from 1 species
GCCUUCGUGUUGUAAUGGUCAGCACACUCGAUGCGUAAUCGAGAUAUCCGGGGUUCGAGUCCCGGCGAGGGUA